UUUGGCACUCCUACUCAGCCCAAAAGCAUCUCUGCAAACCUGUCACAUGCCUUUCCCUGGAAAAAGGGCAAAUUCCCUGAAUGGCCUGAAGCUAAUAAAGAUCAGUUGGAAGCCAACCUUCCUGCCACAGGAUAUAGACAGAUAGUGCCCGAGAAGUGAACUAAUCUUCCUCACUGACAUCAAGUGAUCAAGUCCUGCCAAGUGCUGAACUUCUUUGGAAAAGCUCAGGAUACAGACAGUGUCCAGCACAACUCAGGGCUUUCUAAGGCUGGGACUACAGCUGUAUGCUGAAAGCUGUGAGGAAGAAUUUCUUCCGCCGCUGAAUACUGAAACUAGAUGCUUUACUAACAAGGGCUGUGACACCUCCAGACGUGAGGCCGGCUGGCGCCCGAGUCCAUCCGUGCUCCCAGCCACCACAGGGGUGAACCAACGGCAAGAGGAGCAGGGACUCCGGCCGGGAGCUCACCGCCGCAUCUCCUCCCGCCAACCAGCGCCACCGAAACGCGGGUGCAACUAGAAGAUGGAGCGAGUAUUUGUCAAAGCCAGGCGGGUGAGCGGCCGAACGGAUCCAUCGCCACGGCAGGGCACGUGCCGAGCGGCCGUGGGCAGGCCAGGUCCCCUCACGGCGGGCAGCCAAAGCGUCCGCGGCGAGGGCUGUCGGGAAAGGCCGGGGCCGGGCUGGCUGAGCCGCCGGGGCCGGCAGAGCAGGCCCUCGAGCCAGGCGCGGGAACAAGCCACGUCCUCCCCUGCCCGGCGGAGGCAAACCUGCCAAUUCGGGGCACGGCGGGUCUCCUGAGAGCGCACGCAACGCAAGCACGGAGCCCCGAAGCCAGGAAAACCGGAGUCGCACCUUAGCUCUGACAGACUCCGCACGUAGCCUUCAGCAAGUUACUAUACUCCCUACAUCUUACGUUCACCAGGUGUAUUAAAAAAGGAGCACGAACACUUACAGCUUACUUAGCAACCCCAUUCAGGGGCAAUAAAAUGAACUCUAAAAAGCACGGGAUUUCUCUUGCAAUUCCCAGGAUGUUACCUGGGUCAAACCCAGCUUUGCUCACUGAUGGUUGCUCCUCCGAGCAAGGUAAGCAGCACAGGAGAACUGGGUCAUGGGAAGAGCAUCCAGCGGUGACCGGCAGCCUCCCCGCACUGCUGCGCAGGGGGAAGAAGGCUGCCGUGAAAGGGAGCUGGGUGAGGUUGCAAGUCAUCAGCUCUCAUAAAGAAGGCAGAAAUUCAAACCAGAGUCUUUUGGCAUGAUUUACAUGGCACAUAAAACAGAGAAGCGAUCACAGAAAUCAUUCAGCAAAUUAUGGGGAUUAGUUUUAUGAACACUGUUUUCAAAAGUGAGUACGGAGGACGUAGCCCUUUUAACUAAUCUGAUGGCAUGUUCUUGCCUUAUGGAAAUCUCUUCCUGCCAACAGCUCUGCAAGUUGAACACCCUCUGCUGUCCCGUGCAAUUCAAUGGGAAAAAAUGCUAUUUGGCAACUUCACAGUCAAGACGUGCAGCCUGUCUUACAGUGACAUGAACAGUUAGAGUUGGUUUGCAAUUGUAUCAGCUCUGUGCUACCAACAGCUCUGGAGCUCUUGUUAACAGAUCCUUUCUUCAUUCUCAAAAGUGCAGGAUAACAUCUGGGUCUUUUGGGAAGCACUCUUACAAUAAAGAAGCACUUUGUGUAAUUCCUCUUUCCUCGCCAAGCCGCAUCUGUCUGCUCUCCCUGCCCUUCUCCACUCCACCCCUCGCUCCUUGGGGCUGGGGGGACACACACGAGCAAGAGCUAGCUGUCUCCACUGAGUCAUCAGUAGGUGGCACUGCCUGCUUUUCUCUCUUCCACCCACACGCCCGUCCAGUACUGUCAUCCUAAAUUCAACCAACAAAUUCAAAAGUAGCCUAAGUGUUUUACAAGCCCCGUCUCCUUGAAGAUAAUGUCAGUUAGCGAACCGGAGUGGCUACAACAAAGGCACGGCUCCAUUUGUGCUCGCUGGUCAGCGAACGUGAAUAUUUCACAAGACAAACGAGGUGGAGAGCGAGAGGUGGGAGCUCCUCCAGCCACCCCACCAGGAUCUGGCAGACUCAUCUUCCCAGGGCCCAAAGCUCGUCUGAUUCUAAUGCCAGUUACACAGAUGGCGUCAGCCUAGUCUUGCACUGUGCGAGGUGGCCUUGUUCACCUGUGUUCAACCCAAGGGCAGCAAGACUGAGCUAUUUAAAAUAUCUGUUAGAAAAUAUUCUCUGCCGAAAAAGUCCUUCACACUUAAAACAAUCCCCUACUGACAACCGCAUAUGGAGAACAUAGCAAGUCCCCAGCCUGCCUCUUGGAAAGUGGAUUUGAAGACCUUCCUUUUGAAGGUACACUCUAAAAUAACCAUAAACAUCUGCCGCCCCAUCGAAAACUCUGAAUGACAAUUUCCCCAUGUCGUCACCACCACCUUGCAUCAAUGGUCAGGCCAUUCUGCUCAGGCCAGAAAUUCCCAAAGUUGUAAUGAUUAAACUGGGGGCCUGGUUUGCUGCUCAGCAUCCAGCGCCACUGCCACCACAAAGGGUGUGCGUUCCCUCAGCCUCAGCCCCAGAGGCAUUCCCACCCACUGCAGCAAGGAAGAGCGCCCCGAGUGACUGUUUCCACCUCAUCUCACCUUCCCUCACCUUUUGUGAAGACAGCAAUGGACCACUGCAAGAAGGACAAUGACUCCAAGAGUCCAUACACUUUCUCUGCCAAUGCCUCUGCACUGGAAUUUAAUGGCAAACUGGUUUUCUCAACACUUGGAAAGACUGUCUACUUCCACAUGGAAUAAGUAAACUGUAUCCAAAGCUUUACUAUUUUAACUCUCACGUUAAAAAUAAAAUUGUGCCCCUUUCAACUGGCUAUGCCUAUGCAUAGGGAAAGCAUCAUGGCAGAGUGUUUGUUAAUUUUCUUCAUUAUCAAAUGUAGAACAAAAAUCAUAUUUAAAAACACGUUAGCUGCCUGUAAUAACCAAUAGCAUCACCAACCAGCACAUCUUAAGUACUACUGAACUUGUCAACAGCAAGUGACUUAGUAUUUGUAUAUAAUUGUAUUUUAGCCAAUUAAUUUUCUAACUGAUACUCACACUGUAAUCAUGACCAUUUAAAAUAUAUCAGUAAUAAAUCCACUAGUGCUAACUGAAUCAAUUCAUAUAAAAACUGCUUUGACAUCGUAAGUUAGAUGGUGACUUUUCCAGUGUUGAUGCUAUUUCAGUAUUUCAUCGGUUUGCUUUAACUUUAAACUAAAACUAAGUAAGCCAAAUGAAACGGCCUUGUCUUUGCAGUCAGCAAACUACUGGUUAUGUUACCAGCUGUUGUCUUCCACCACCUUCAGGAACAGCUCAACUUUCGGUUGAGCUUUUGUGUUUGUGCCUAAAAAAGAGUGGUAUCUCCUUCAUAAAUGAAUCAUUGUGAACUGCUGCUGGAAGUGCUCAUGGAGAUCUGCCACAGAAAUAAGCUUGCACUUUUCCAAAUGUCUGCCAGUCUCAAACCUUCCUUGCCUUCCCACCAGCUUCAGGAGUGCUAAGGAAGGUCGAACUCCUCCAGAGAACUGCUUAUGCCCCAGAGUGGCAGCACCCUUAACGCUGACAUGCUAAGGCUGUAAAUAUAUUAUUGCAGUAAAUCAAACAUCGCGGA